AGAGAUGUGUGAUGACGCAUAUCAAUAAGCGGAGGAAAAGAAACUAACUAAGGAUUCCCUCAGUAACGGCGAGUGAAGCGGGAAGAGCUCAAAUUUGAAAUCUUCAAGGUUCUACCUUGACGAAUUGUAGUUUAUAGAAGUGUUUUCUGUUAGUAGAGUGGCAAAAGUUCUUUGGAAUAGGACAUCAUAGAGGGUGAGAAUCCCGUAUUUGGUCAUUCUUUCUAGCUUUGUGAUACACUUUCAACGAGUCGGAUUGUUUGGGAAUGCAGUCCAAAAUGGGUGGUAAAUUUCAUCUAAAGCUAAAUAUUGGCGAGAGACCGAUAGCGAACAAGUACCGUGAGGGAAAGAUGAAAAGAACUUUGAAAAGAGAGUUAAACAGUACGUGAAAUUGUCAAAAGGGAAGCGUUUGACACCAGUGUUGUUUUUCCGAAAAUCAAUUACGAAUGUUUUGUUUUUAAGAAGUUAUGACUUCAUCGGCUUGCUUCUUUCUUUACGAAACUUUCUUAAUGCACUUUUCGGUUAACAAGUCAACAUCAAUUUCUUUUGUUGUAAAAGGGUACGAGGAAGGUGGCUUUCUUUUCGGAGAAAGUGUUUAUAGCCUUGUACCUCUGCAAUCGGAGAGAUUGAGGUCUGCAGCGUAGAUCCUUCGGGGUUAGAUACAUUUGUGCUAAGUUAUAGCUUUUCAUAGACAACUUGUUGACUAUGUUAAGUCUUGUAGCUUACUCGCUUAUGCUAUUUUACCUACGCUUAGGAUGUUGAAGAUGUAGCACAUCAU
rnacentral:rRNA from 1 species